rnacentral:rRNA from 1 species
CAGCAGCCACGGUAAUACGUAGGGUGCAAGCGUUAUCCGGAUUUAUUGGGUUUAAAGGGUCCGUAGGCGGAUCUGUAAGUCAGUGGUGAAAUCUCACAGCUUAACUGUGAAACUGCCAUUGAUACUGCAGGUCUUGAGUAAAUUUGAAGUGGCUGGAAUAAGUAGUGUAGCGGUGAAAUGCAUAGAUAUUACUUAGAACACCAAUUGCGAAGGCAGGUCACUAAGAUUUAACUGACGCUGAUGGACGAAAGCGUGGGGAGCGAACAGGAUUAGAUACUCGCGUAGUCCCUGUCUCUUAUAC